rnacentral:tRNA from 1 species
GACGAGAUGGCAGAGCAGUUAAGGCAAUGGACUGCUAAUCCAUUACGCUUUGCACGCGUGGGUUUCAAUGUCAUUCUCAUUG